rnacentral:lncRNA from 1 species
UCAGUGACGGGCAGCGAGGACGCCUGCGUGCAUUUCUUCGACGUGGGGCGCUCGGCCCGGGCCACGGUCAACACCCUGCAGGGCCACGGCGGCGCCGUGCUGGCCGUGGCCUUCAACUGCGACGAGAGCCUGCUGGCCUCCAGCGACGCCACCGGCACCGUCAUCGUCUGGCGCCGCCAGCACGCCUGAAACCCCCCCGCGGUCCCCCCCCCCCCCCCCCCUCCCCGGCAAGGCACGGACCCCCCAGCUGCGUUCAACAAGCCUUGUUUUGCACCCCCGCUGUGGGUUUUGGGUCAGAAAAGGUACUUGCGGCACGCGGCGGCCCCGCACUUGCACUCGAUGCGGCCCCGGGAGCGGGGGGAGCCCCCCAGGCCCCCCCCCGCCAGCCCGAAGUUGGAGUCCAUGCGGGUGCUCUCGGCGUCCACCGGGUCCACUGCGGGGAGAGGGGGGGGUGAGGGGGUGGCCUGCGGGCUUGUGGGGCACGCUGUGGGGUGCUACAGGUCAGGGUGUGGGGCGCAGUGGGGCGCUAUGGGUCACGCCGUGGGGCGCCGUGGGGCACAGUGGGGUGCUAUGGGUCACGCCGUGGGGUGCUGUGGGGCACAGUGGGGUGCUAUGGGUCACGCCGUGGGGCGCAGUGGGGCCGUACCGUGCAUGUUGUAGUCGAAGGUGAGCUCCUCGCCGGCGCGGAUGGGGCGCGUGGCGAACAGGGCGAUGCGCGGCAGGCGCUCGUCCAGGUUCUCGAUGAAGACGUUGUACACCUGCAGGUUGGGGUCGCACUGGGGGGGGAGAGGGCGGGGUCAGACGGGGACACGCCCCCUGCCCCGCCUACUGCAUGUGAUUGACAGCUGGGGAGCCCCGCCCACUGACUCGGAGGUGAAAGGGGGGGGAAUGGGUCAUUUGUGAGUGGGGCCUUAAUUAGGGGGUGAUUAGUGAACAGCCAGGGGUAAUUAGCCAUUAGCCUAGAGUAAUUAGCAAUUGGUCAGGGGCAAUUAGCUAUCAGCCCAGGCCAAUUAGCCCUUGGCCAGGGUAAUUAGCAAUUACUCAGGGGCAAUUAGCGAUCGGCCCAGGGGCAAUUUCAGCUGUCAGCUGGGGGCAGUUAGCCAUUAGCAGGGGGCCACCAGUGGGGCAAUUAGCCCCGGCGGGGGGCAGUUAGCCAUUAGCGGGGUUCGUUAGCUGUCGGGGGGGGGGGUUAAUUAGCGUCUCGUUACGCACGCUGUGGUUAACGAAGUGGGAGAUAUUGCCGUAGUGCGCGGCGUCCACGGUGUAGACGUCCUCCACAUAGUCCAGGUCGAAGAGGUACGUGGCGCCCUGCCGGUCGUACACCUGCCCCCGCCGCUCCGCCUCCUCCGACGUGAUGAUCUGGGGGGGAUCCGCGUCAGCACGGCCCCCCCUGGGGUCCCCCAAACCCCCCUGGGGUCUCUCUGGGGC